CCAAAUCAGUUGAAUCCCCACAGAAUAGCCUCAGAUCGUGGUGACUGUAGCCGCAUUUGAGCGUAAAGAACUUUACGAUCCCAGUGUCAGCAAGAAUUUUGAGGAGGAAACACUAUGCAUCCUGAGGAACUCAGAGAUUCUGCUGUACGUUCCUUUCCACGCAGAGACAUUUGAAGCUCUCUUUCUCACAGCCAUAGUGUCCAGCACAGGCCAUGGCAGCCACCUCAGAACAAGGGACCAGAGUAGCAAAGUUUAUUAAUAAGAUGUAAAGGAAAUCUGAAGGAAGACAGUUCAAGACUGGAAUGACGGGUACAUGAAGCCACAGAAAUAUGAUCCUUCCCACUACUCUGAUUCCCAGUGACAACAAA